rnacentral:rRNA from 1 species
CAUGUAGGCGGAUUAAUAAGUUUGAAGUGAAAUCCUAUAGCUUAACUAUAGAACUGCUUUGAAAACUGUUAAUCUAGAAUGUGGGAGAGGUAGAUGGAAUUUCUGGUGUAGGGUAAAAUCCGUAGAGAUCAGAAGGAAUACCGAUUGCGAAGGCGAUCUACUGGAACAUUAUUGACGCUGAGACGCGAAAGCGUGGGGAGCAAACA